AUGGAAGCUGGUCCUACUGUCAGUCCCACAGUGUCUCUGCUCCCCCCCUCCUCUGAGCAGCUCUCUGGAGGCUCUGCCUCACUGGCCUGCCUGCUGACUGACUACUCCCCUCAGGGGGCGCUGGUGAGCUGGGAGGUGGACGGGCUGGAGGUGAGCCAGGGGGUCGUGACCAGUCCAGAAGAAGAGAAGGAAGGCCUUUACAGACGCAGCAGCAUCCUGACCCUGAGCAAGGCAGGCUGGGAGCAGGGAGAGCUCUACACCUGCAGGGUCUCCCACUUCCAACACACCCAGGCCUCCCCCCUACGUAGGAGCCAGUGUCUGGUCUAG